GGGCAGAGCCGCCCUGCUCUGUCCGUUGCCUCCGUCACUGUCGUGUGGCGGGGAUGUCUUCGUGUAAUUUUUUCUACAUGAAAGGGCAUUGUCGCUAUCUAGGUCAGAACAGUAAACGGCUUGUUAAAACACUUUAAAAUACCCACCGUAGCGAAAAACAGCGCUUUCCUCGUACUUCUUUCAGUCUUCACGUGUAACUGCAGAAGGCGCUGUAGUUUGAAGCAGGUUUGCUUGUGUCGCUGACAAAGAAGGAGAAUGUUAGUUAAUCUCGGCACGACGAGCUAGAGGCACGGCAAAGGUUGCUGACGAAAGAAGGACCCCAAGGAACUCCAUUGUCCAAAGGGAAAGAUGAACACAGGAUUCUGCAGAAAAACCCUCAGCGCUCAGUACCUAAUUUUUCCUUUUAAAUAAAACUAGGGUGCUCAUGUAGCAACAAAGACAGAGAAAACACUCUGAAUUUUUCUGUUUAUUGACACGUAAUUAUUUGCCUCCACAAGCGCUCCUUCGCAAACCUUAAGGUCCGAGGUGGAGCGCGGGGCCGCUGUGUUUCUAUAGCACCUGUUCUCCUUGAACAGCCUUAUCAAAUCAUACAUGUGGACAACUGGUACUUGACAUUUUCAAAUGUAGUAUUUAACAUACUCGUAUCACUUUCCCAGUUCUCUCCCUUGUUAAGGAACAAUUAUUUGCACUUGGAAUUCUGAACAUGCUGUCAUUACCAGGGCAUGCAACUUAAGUGCCCAAGAAUUUCCAAGAAUAGAAUAGAAUUUCCAAGUGCUGGUCAAAUAUUUGUAUGCGUGGUGAUGCGCCAAAAUGGAUCAGCUAGAGAAGCAAUUGCAAGGGUUAAUACACAAGAAUCCAGGCAAAUUAUAAGUUUAAAACUUCGCACUUCGGAUGGUUGCGAUUUCAUUGUCUGACAAUUCACAUAGCGCUCCUAUAACACACAUAGGCUACUAUGAAACGUUCCAGACUUGGGAUGACCAAGUAAUCUAAGUCAUGACCUAAGAUCUCUUAUAUGGUGUCAUUUUAGAAACUGCAUGGUAUGUCAGCUCUGAGAGCAUAUCCCUGUACUGUGCGCAGGCUCUCGAGGUCAGAAGUACUCUUGUUGUGAUCUCAUUGUAGGAAUAGAACUUUAAAACUAGUAAAAAAAAAAAAAAAAAAAAAAGUCUGACAUUAAUUUACAAUCCAGAAAACAUUUUCUGAAUAUACAUUGCAUGGUAUUACCAAUGAAUGUUUUUAAUAAAGGAAUUCAUAUGCUGAAAUGUUAUGAGAGGCUGAGGGGAUCAGCUUCUGAUUCCAAGUGCCUAACACAGGUAGUUGAUUUGAGAGUUUAGGCUUCUCGUGCAGCCAAUAGACUACACAAAAGGCAAUUCCGAUCAUCUAGGAUCCUGUAUCUCCAGACACUUAAAUUAAGUUAGGCAUUAGAAGUUAGACUGUAUUUAUAAUCUAUGCUGAUACCCAUCUGUCAAGUUGGAAUAGAUCAAAACCCCUGGUUAUUGCCACCAAAAUAUAGUCUCAGUUCCUUGAUAUAUAUAUAUAUAUUUUCUGAUAGGAUUGUGCGUAUGCAGUCUAAGAACUCUAGACUGACUUUUUCCUUCAUUACCUUAUGCAAACCAGCAGGGUUCAGUCUAGGAGCUGUAACAUCAUAGCAGUUACAAGCUGCGAUGUCACUAACAAAUUCAGCCUCUUCUGCUAUUUAUACUAAUAGUUGGGGUCAUGUGAAAUUACUGACCUGCAGGCGGGAUCACAACCAGAACGAACUUGAGAAUCUGUAUGCUCAGAAACAUUAGUUUCUUCCAAGACACUUUUAAAAUGUCUGCCUGACCAUGAAAAAAAAAAUGACAAGGAUUCCCACAUUUCCCUCCUUAGCACAAACAGAUUUGAGAAAAUCAUUAUUUCAGACCCUUCCAGGACGUUCUGUUCUAAAUCACAGAUUUUACAUUUGUUUAAUCAUCUGGAAAACCUGAGGUACAAGGAGGAAAGAGUGGGCUUGCCUUGGUUUUGCUCCUUUCACUUGUAUAUAUGAGGCCAGAGAGGUUUAUUCCUGAAGAAAACUAAGGGAAAGGUCAUGUUCACAUGGGUUUUGUCAUUCUGGAAGUGUGUAGCACCUCCUCUGAAUGAGAAAUUUUGCUAAUUCCCAGCAGCACUGUAGGAAUUUCCAUAAUGGAUUUCCAUGAGCAAAGAUGUCUUUGGAAAUCCUGUAGCUAUAUUAGCAGCACUGACAGACAGGUUUGACGACAUGCCUGAGUCUUUCAGCAAGGGGCAUAUGAUUUGUCAGUCCUGAUAUUUCUGUAAGUAAACAAGCUGAAAUGCAUAUAUAUUUAAAUCUAAUAAUGGGUUCUCGGUUGUUUGUCAGGACUUACAGACUGAUGCUCUCUACAUGCACCAGGCAAUCCUCCCACUAACUUUUGAGCCCACUGACCAAUUUCCAUUAAAUUUCAUGAGGGUUAGCAGCAGAAGCUAGUGCAAUAUGGAGGGUUUUGUGGACUUAGUGGCUAAUAAGAGAAUAAGAGACCUUACAAACUCUCUGUCCUUGAGAAAGCUAAUGAGCUUUCUCUUUUCUAGCCAUCCGAGAAUUCAAGUGGAGCAGGCUGAGAGGGAAAUAGGGAUCUUCCCUCGCUUUCACAUGCAAAUCACCUGUAGAGAACAGGACAGGUUAAGGCCCCACUAAUCUGCACAGGGUUGCUCGGGGAUGGACUGCAACAGGGAUGUGGACUUCCAAUGCAUUCAGCCACGCUAUGGUUUCAACAAUUAGCUCAGGGAAGAAAAUGUUGCAAGACCAAUUACCUGGUUUCCAGCAGAGGCAUGAAGUGAUUUUCAUUGACUAAUCCAGAAAACACGUAUUACCGGGUGCAUUGGUCCUAGCACAGGUGGUUCACUUGGCAACAAAUGCAUAAGGAAUAACUUCUUGAAACAGUGAAAUGAAAACGUGAAUCAUCCGUGGAUAUUUCUGCCCUGGUAAUAGCUUCAAGAUUUGAAGAAGAGUAGCAGUUAUCUGUAGUCUUUCCCUCACUGUUACGCAUGAAGUGCUUCAGAAGACACACACAGGAAAGACUGAAAUGCUUUCAGGACUUCUCAGCUGUAUAAUGAGGAUCAUCUUGUUUGGGAUAUGACCACGGAGUAACAACAGGGUCAUGCUUUCUCUGUCAGAUUCCUGUCUCAAAGGAGAUCCAGAUGAAUUUCUGUAGCAAAUGCAUGCUCUUCAUACACAUUCCCCUCAACUCAUCUGAGUUUCAUUUCUGUUGUGAGCGUUACAUCACCGUCUCUUGGCAACUAUCCCUGGAGUGCUUGGGAAGGAUAUUCAGUCAUUAAUGGGGAUGAACCCUGUCCCAUGGAAAGUGGCAAAGAGGAAGAUCACUGUUCUGGGUGAGAGCAGCUACUGCAUGUGGAAUCACUUGUCUGCAGAGAAAUGUAUUCUGACACGUUCCCAUUUGCCUUUGCACAACUGCACAGUGGACUUGGUAAUGCAUCUGAGCAGCCUUCUGAUCAGUCUAAAAAGUAGGGUAUCCCUCUCUUCCCAUUUAGAAAUAAAGAACUGCAGAGAUGAAUUCCACCAUCCAAGAAGCAGGUUGGAUAAGAUGGAAGUUGUGUCAGAUGGCUUCAAGGGUGCCUAAGACCAUCAGCAUUAAGUACUACCUGACUGCUGAAAUUCUUGAUAAUUCUCUCAUCUGUAGUCUCUAUUUAGCAACUGGUAGAAGGAUGGGAAAGUCGUGAUUUCCUAAAAGGGCUGUACCAUCUGUCAGUGCUACUCAUCUUUUUUUCAAACUUACUUUGAGUUAUUUUUUCUCUCCUUCUGACAUUCACCAUUCCCAGGCUGGGCUAUAGCCUGGUGAGUGUGCUGUUCAGUACCAAUUAUGAGAUACACAGAACUGUUUAUUUUAAAAUCUGAGGUGUCUCAGAAAAUGAAAUACCACUGGCACAAAUACUGACAACCAGCUUUCCAUGAGGGGAUGUGAAGCAAGGCAGAUAACCAUUACGGCCCUUUCAGGUAUUUCUGCAGGGAGUGCAGAUAGUUUUCAUCUUCAGAAUGACCCCACUGAUCCCAGAGAGCUUCUGUGGAAAAGCAGCAAUAUCUUGAGUUCAUCUGUGUCAAAAGCUGGUGAUAAACCUCAGACUUUUACCAGAGAUAAGAGGAUCAUAUUGCACAGUGGCCUUAAAGCAUGCUAAGAUUUGGAUUCUUGUGAAAGGAGGGCAUUACUAACUCUGGAUUUUUCAUAUUCUUUCUUACUCCAAAAAUGAAGUGAUUGUACAAUGCAGUGAGUAUGAUUCUUUUGUAUUUAAAUGUGAUUCUUUAAUUGAGUAACAUCUGGAUUCAGUCUGUGGGAAGAAAUUAGGCUUUUUUUUUUUUUUUUCUUUUAACCCUAUGCCUGUUUCAUUAAUCUUUCUUAUGCAUAUAGCUUUUUUCCAUUUUUCGUUUCGUUUUCCCUUUGCUGCCAAUAGGGCUUUGUUUUACAGUUUUCAUUUUUGGACUUUCCCCCCGCAGUCUCACACUUCAACAAAGCACUAAUGUUCAAAGUGUGAAAAUGACAGCAAAGGCACAUCCUCGUACAGUCGACAUGCUAAACCCACCUGAACAGAGGAGAGCAGGGUACAGAAUCAAGACUCUACAUUAAAAUAUGCAUCAAACUCCUGACGAAAAAGAAAUAAAGAAGUUAAUACGGCAAACAGCAAGAAACUAAACAAACACAGCCCAUAAAGGAAGCAAAUGCACCGAGUAUGAUGAGAAAGGAAAAGUCAGAUUAGGGCCAUCUCCACUCAUGGGAACACAUGAAGAGAGUCGGCAACUGCAAGCUGCACACUUUCCUCCAGAAGAAAAGGCUUGAUUUUCAGAAGUGCUUUUGAGGACAGAAUUUUCUGCUUCCCACUGGGAAGAAGAUCAUUUUUUUAAAGCUUAGCCUUACCAGAAAGUCAGGAUGAAUACUGGAAUGUGGUUUAACAUUGUACCCUCUGAGGAAAUGUUUAUCCCCACUAACUGGGGGUAAUUAGAAAGAAAGAUGGCGUUGCCUGUGGAACUUACUUAAAAACGUAUCUUUGGCAUUGUAUGGUGUAUUGGCAGCAAUAAAGCAGAAGGGAAUCAGUGUUGGUGGUUCAAGGGGUGGGAAAGCUGAAACAGGAAACAUCAGGAACAGCCAACACAGUGUGUAGUCAGUCAAGCCCAGUGCACAUAUAUCUGGAGCAACACAUACAUGUAUACACACAUGUGCACGCGUGUACACACCUCAGCCAUGCAGACACUGAGGCAAGAGGCAGAAAGAUCAGAGGAGGAAACAGUUUAAGUGCUGCAGCUCCAUGUACAUAUAUACAGACCUCUGCCCCCAGCCCACUCAUGCAGAGGCCUUUUUGUCCAUUUUCUUCUCUUGAAAAAAUCUGGUGAUGCAUCCUGGCAUAUGGGAAAAAGCUCAUGGUUUGCUAAAGCUUUUAGGGGGUUGGUCUGCUUCCUUAAUCUACUGUUAAAUGAGUUUGGAGGCCAGAAUAAGAAAUGCUUUUUUGUAUUUUGCCAAUUGAAAUCAAAAUAAAUAUAUAACUAAAAGGAGCUCGCUCACAAAUUUACAUUACCUAUAUGUUGCUAUGUCAUACUAGCAAAUACAGCUCAGCACCUAUUACUAUGACUUUCAGAAAGAAUCAUGCAAACUCAGAAUGGCUGAUGUGGGCAGGGACCUCUGGGUCCAUCUGCUCCAAUUCCUGCACAAGCAGGGCCAUACACAGCAGGGCACCCAGGCCCACAUCCAGGCAGCUUUUGAAGAUCUUCAAGGAGGAGACUCCAUAGCCUCUGGGCAGCCCAUGCAAGCAGUCCAGCACCUGUGCACUGAAAAAAUAUUUGCUGACGCUCAGGGGAAACCCCCUGUAUGCCAGUUUGUGUCCAUUGCCUCUUGUCCUGGCAUUGGGCACCACUGGAAAGAGCCUGGCCCCAUCCUUUUGGCACCCUCCCUUCAGCUAUACAUAGGUGUGAAUGAGACCCCUUGAACUGCUUCUUCUCCGGGCUGAACAGGCCCAGAUCUCUCAGCCUUUCCUCAUAGGAGAGAUGCUCCAGCCUCUUCAUCAUCUUCGUGGCCCUACGUUGAACUCUUUCCAGUAUGUCUGUAUCUUUUUUUAUACUGGAGGGCCCAGAAACGGACCCAGCACUCCAGGUGUGACCUGACCAGCACUAAGGCAGCAAUAACAUAUUCUGAGCUCGAGAAAGUCUCUCAUAUUUCUCUCCUAUACAGGGAACAAACACAAUUUUAAAGGAUUUGUCAUUUUAAAAAUAAUGAAUAAUGAGAUACAUACCUUGUUCCUUUUUCCAGAAAGAAGAUAUUUAAAACAGGGCACUGACAAAGCCUAUAAUUUCACAUCACUUUCUUCUAUGAUUUUCACAGCCAGAGUAGCAAUGGGAAAGUGACGCAGGUCACCAGUGUAGCAAAAAGCUGAACGUCAAGUGGUGAGAAAAAAUAAAUAAAUCAGUGGCUGUACUAUUACCAAGAGAAUUGAGGCUUGCUCUUCCUGAAGAAAAGCUGUCUGCAGCCAGCUCUCACAGCAACAGAACCAGGGCAACUGCCAAUGUAGGCGAAGCAAAGCAAAAUGAAGUUCAAGACCUAUUGCCAAGGGGUGGAAAGGUUUAAGAACAACAAAUGCCUCAUCUUGACAAUGUAAAAUCUGCAAAGACUAGAACAGAAAGGGCCAAUUACUACCUUAUGUUCCAGUUCUAAUCCGAAAUUAUAGGAUAGAUUUCUAAUGAGGGGGAACACUACUGGAGGCAGCUGUGGAGGAUGGAGGGGUACAUUGCUGUAAUUACAGACCCUUGUGCAUUGGUGACAGAAGUUCCAAAACUUCAAGAGGCAACACCUUUGUAAUAUUUGUUUUUGCAGAAUCAAAUAACACCCUCAAUUUGCAGUGGAAUGGAAACACUGAAGUAUGUGAGUUUCAAAGCAGAUUGUAGUACUACCUGGCACGUGGUAGGAGCUGGACUAAGAAGGCAGAGUCAGAGACAGUGGUUUACAACAUGUGGUCUGCAGACUCCUAGAGAUCCAGAGGACUUCCAAGGGCUUCAGAAGAGUUAACCAUGGAACAAACAAUUAUCUUGUCCUUACUCAAGGGUAUGCAUCUCUCCUGCAAAGCUUAUAGGGAUCUAUAAGGGGAGAAGGCUUGAAAAAACACACUACUACUGGGGCCCCAAGUACAGGAAGGAUGUGGAGCUCUUGGAGCAGGUCCAGAGGAGGGCCACUAAGAUGACCAGAAGGCUGGAGCACCUCUCCUUUGGGGAAAAGUUGAGGAAACUGCGCUUGUUUAGCUUGGAGAAGAGAAGGCUCCGGGGAGACCUCAUUGCG